GAUGAACGCUGGCGGCGUGCCUAAUACAUGCAAGUCGAGCGAAGCGGGGACGGGUGAGUAACACGUGGAUAACCUCCUAUAAGACUGGGAUAACCUCGGGGAACCGGAGCCUAACCGGAUACUUAUCGAUUGUUCCGUUCUGCAUUAGCUAGUUGGUAGGGUAACGGCUUACCAAGGCAACGAUCCAUAGCCGACCUGAGAGGAUGAUCGGCCACACUGGAACUGAGACACGGUCCAGACUCCUACGGGAGGCAGCAGUAGGGAAUCUUCCGCAAUGGGCGAAAGCCUGACGGAGCAACGCCGCGUGAAUGAUGAAGGUCUUCGGAUCGUAAAACUCUGUUAUUAGGGAGGCGGUACCUAAUCAGAAAGCCACGGCUAACUACGUGCCAGCAGCCGCGGUAAUAC
rnacentral:rRNA from 1 species